CGUGACAUUUCGCCGGCGGCAAAUUUUUGGCGAAACUAAACGGGUCAAAUUCGCCCAUCCCUAGUCAUUUAAUACCAAAUCAGUCACUACAGAUUACUGACCCAAUAAUCAAAUCCUUAUUACCAUAUUUAGAUUGCUGAUAACUCCCAAUAUCUUGUGAUUUGAAUUCAGCUUCACCAAAUCCAAAAACUGAAAUUGUAUUUAAUAUGUGCUUUUAUUACAAUCAAAUACAUUUAUGUGUUUUCUAUUAACUAAGGGAAGUUGGAUUUAUAUCAUUUAUAUAAUUAUAGUUUUCCUAUUUGCUCAUUUCUUUUUUGUAAUAAUUCUUUUUUGUCUUCUUAGAAAAGAAAAGUUAAUCAUCCAACCAAAGAAUCUGUUGUGGAAUUAAAACCAGAGGAAGAACUGGAGCCGGCCAUAACCAUCUGCCAGGUGGCUCCAGAAACCCCUGAUAUUGACAUCUGUCAGGAGACAACACAGAAAUCAGGCAAUGACACCUGCCAGCCU